UUUUCAGAGCAGAGGGCAGCUAUAAUUGUUUGCAUUUUGUUUUGGGAGGGGAACUGUCCAUUUUGCACAAUUUUUGAACUAGUACCCAUGUGGCUCAGAAUUUAGGGCUGGGGCAACAUCCUUUUUUAUUUUUACACGGAUCUUAAGCAAUUCUGUGAGGAAGGUUCGCAACUACUGAAUUACUUGCUAUCCUGUCUUCACAGAGUUUAAUAAUACUGCAAAGCAGCAAAGGAUAUUACCCAGUUGUGUGCAGUGGCAUUCAGUAAACACCAAUAUCUGAUGCUUCAGGUUAGGAGUGAAGUGGAUAAGUGUGACUCACCACUUAAAGCUGCUUUUAAACAUGGAAGACCUCAUUACAUUGCAAAUCUUUUUUUUUUUAAAUACAUAUGGUAUAGUAGCAAAUGUUUCUGAAUUAUGCAACUGUUUGCUCUCUAGUAAACCGACAGAUGAUGCACAUCUUUUGUUUUUCCUGUACUAAGUAAUGUGAGUGAAAUUAUAUUUGUCUAGUUUUUUCUUUGCAAAAUUGAGGUCUUCCAUGUUUGAUGGGAAGUCUUGCACUAUUACAAUAUGUUUUGGGGGACACAUUUCAUGGUUUCCAUUUCUGGUUUAUGGAUUUUUUUUUCUCUUUGAAACCAUUUUACAGUUUCAAAAGUUCAGUAUAGUACUUGAAGUCCUAACCAGAAAACAUAACUUUGGUCUUAAGUUUUGAAGCCUUUAUUCAAACCAUUUAAAAAUAAGUAGUUUAUUACCCAUGUUUUCUUUUAAGCCUCUUAGCCCAUAUCUCAUGUCCUCCCCUAUCUCAUCCCCCUUUUUUAUCCUAUGUUCUCCUUCCCUUUCUUACUUUGAUUAUUCUUAAUGCUUCAUCAUUGCCCUGCCACCAUAUAAACUCUUUCUGGCACCAGGAGUAAUUACAAAUAGAAGUGUAGAAACCUAGAACAGCAAAGAGCCAUUCCGCUUCAGUAUUGCUUCUUUGAAAACCAUGGUUAAAUCAUUAAGAUAUCAAACAGAAGUUUACAUGGUGAUUGCUCACCUACUGUACUGUGGACUUUAACAUUCUUGUCCCCCUUUUAUUCAGCAAAAGCAAAGACUCAUCUACCAUUACUGUUAAUUGCUGAUUUGUUGAUGGUAGUUUUCAUCAUUCUGACCCCAUUUCAACAAAACUGGCUUUACCAUUUGGGCUUGAGUUAGGUAUAGAAGACAGUGGAUUACCAUCUUUAUUGCUGUAAUGUGUUAAACAUUAUAUGCUCGUAGAAGCUAGUUAAUUGUUUCCGGUGGAAAGUAUUCUUUGAGUUUCCAUUUUGAAUGUGUUUUGACUAAACAUACAAUAAAC
rnacentral:lncRNA from 1 species